rnacentral:rRNA from 1 species
GCCAGACUCCUACGGGAGGCAGCAGUGGGGAAUAUUGGACAAUGGGGGGAACCCUGAUCCAGCGACGCCGCGUGAGUGAAGAAGUAUUUCGGUAUGUAAAGCUCCAUCAGCAGGGAAGAAAGAAAUGACGGUACCUGACUAAGAAGCCCCGGCUAACUACGUGCCAGCAGCCGCGGUAAUACGUAGGGGGCAAGCGUUAUCCGGAUUUACUGGGUGUAAAGGGAGCGUAGACGGCGAUGCAAGUCUCAUGUGAAAUACCCGGGCUUAACUUGGGGGUUGCAUGGGAAACUGUAGAGCUUGAGUACAGGAGAGGCAAGCGGAAUUCCUAGUGUAGCGGUGAAAUGCAUAGAUAUUAGGAGGAACACCAGUGGCGAAGGCGGCUUGCUGGACUGAAACUGACGCUGAGGCUCGAAAGCGUGGGGAGCAAACAUGAUUAGAUACCCCUGUA